ACUCAAAGGAAUUGACGGGGGCCCGCACAAGCGGUGGAGUAUGUGGCUUAAUUCGAUGCAACGCGAAGAACCUUACCUGGGCUUGACAUGCAUUUCUAAGGCGGUGAAAGCCGCCGAGGGUAGCAAUACCCAACUUGCACAGGUGCUGCAUGGCUGUCGUCAGCUCGUGUCGUGAGAUGUUGGGUUAAGUCCCGCAACGAGCGCAACCCUCGUGCACUGUUACCGAUGCAAAUCGGCACUCUGCGCAGACUGCCCCGUGAAACGGGGAGGAAGGCGAGGAUGACGUCAAGUCAGCAUGGCCCUUACGCCCAGGGCUGCACACGUACUACAAUGCCCAGCACAAAACGAACCGGCCCCGCGAGGUGCCGGAAACCAAAAAAGCUGGGUUCAGUUCGGAUUGCAGGCUGCAACUCGCCUGCAUGAAGCUGGAAUCGCUAGUAAUGCCGUAUCAGCUACGACGGCGUGAAUACGUUCCCGGGCCUUGUACACACCGCCCGU
rnacentral:rRNA from 1 species